rnacentral:RNase_P_RNA from 1 species
UAAGUAGAAUGGAUAAUCGCGGCAGAGCCGUAACGCUUUGUCGAGGAAAGUCCGGGCUUCAUAGGGCAGGAUGCCGGAUAACGUCCGGUGGAGGCGACUCCAAGGCUAGUGCAACAGAGAGAUACCGCCGUCAAGCAAUACCGUAAAGGUAGUGACGGUAAGGGUGGAAAGGUGGUGUAAGAGACCACCGUCCCUACGGUAACGUAGGGAGCCAUGUAAACCCCAUUCGAAGCAAGACCAAAGGAGAACGAUAAGCUUGCCCGGCUUGUUCUCAGGUGGGUCGCAAGAGGCGAGCGGCGACGUUCGUCCCAGAUAGAUGAUUAUCCAAGACAGAACCCGGCUUAUAGUUCUGCUUACCAU